rnacentral:lncRNA from 1 species
AGCCCACCAGGUGGCGCUCGCUCCCCCAUUUCCCCCCCCCCCUCCGCGCCGACGCCCGUGACGUCAGCCGCCCGGCUCCAUUUGAGCGCCUCUCGGCAGCCGAGAACUCGGACUUCCCGUGUGGCUCACAACAUAACUACUCGGCGUUGCUUCUACAGUGGCUGUGGCUCGACCCCUGGCCUGGGAACUUCCAUAUGCCGCAGCCCCGCGGCGGCAGAUGGCACUCGUUCUGCCGCUUUUUCCUGGCUGUGUGCGAUGCCAUCGCAUAGAUGUCCCCGGUCUGCGAAGUGCACUCACCUGUCAGUGGACCUUUAGGUGGCUUCCAGAUGGCACUCGUUCUGCCGCUUUUUCCUGGCUGUGUGCGAUGCCAUCGCAUAGAUGUCCCCGGGUCUGCGAAGUGCACUCACCUGUCAGUGGACCUUUAGGUGGCUUCCAGAUCUUGGCUCUGGUGAGUAGUGCGGCGACAGACAGAGGGGUGCCCGGGUCUGCUUCCGGGAAAGUUUGGUCCCGGUGAAAUGGAGCUGUUUGGAGGCCGGCUUCGGUCUUUGUGUGGGCCGGCCCGUGUAGGGCUGCUUGGCUGAGACUCUGUCGAGGAGGGAGGCCUUCAGCCACCGGGGCCUCACGGGGCCUACCCGUGCGGCACCAUCACAGAGCUCUCCGUCACUGCCCCUUGUGGGGGUGAGGGAAGGGGCGUGUUGCGGGGGG